UACGUAGGGAGCAAGCGUUGUCCGGAAUCAUUGGGCGUAAAGCGCGCGUAGGUGGCUUCGUAAGUCCGUUGUGAAAGUCAAAGGCUCAACCUUUGAAAGCCGAUGGAUACUGCGGAGCUAGAGUACGGAAGAGGGAAGCGGAAUUUCCGGUGUAGCGGUGAAAUGCGUAGAUAUCGGAAGGAACACCAGUGGCGAAAGCGGCUUCCUGGUCCAGCACCGACGUUCAGGCACGAAAGCGUGGGGAGCAAACAGG
rnacentral:rRNA from 1 species